UGGAGAAGCUAGAGCAGGACUUCGUCUC
rnacentral:piRNA from 1 species